CAGCCGCCACGGUAAUACGAAGGGGGCUAGCGUUGCUCGGAAUGACUGGGCGUAAAGGGCGCGUAGGCGGUUUGUACAGUUGGAUGUGAAAUUCCUGGGCUUAACCUGGGGGCUGCAUUCAAUACGUGCAGGCUUGAGUGUGGAAGAGGGUCGUGGAAUUCCCAGUGUAGAGGUGAAGUUCGUAGAUAUUGGGAAGAACACCGGUGGCGAAAGCGGCAACCUGGUCCUUGACUGACGCUGAGGCGCGAAAGCGUGGGGAGCAAACAGGAUUAGAUACCCCUGUAGUCCCUGUCUCUUAUAC
rnacentral:rRNA from 1 species